GAUGAACGCUGGCGGCGUGCCUAAUACAUGCAAGUCGAGCGAACGGACGAGAAGCUUGCUUUUCUGAUGUUAGCGGCGGACGGGUGAGUAACACGUGGAUAAACUACCUAUAAGACUGGGAUAACUUCGGGAAACCGGAGCUAAUACCGGAUAAUAUUUUGAACCGCAUGGUUCAAAAGUGAAAGACGGUCUUGCUGUCACUUAUAGAUGGAUCCGCGCUGCAUUAGCUAGUUGGUAAGGUAACGGCUUACCAAGGCAACGAUGCAUAGCCGACCUGAGAGGGUGAUCGGCCACACUGGAACUGAGACACGGUCCAGACUCCUACGGGAGGCAGCAGUAGGGAAUCUUCCGCAAUGGGCGAAAGCCUGACGGAGCAACGCCGCGUGAGUGAUGAAGGUCUUCGGAUCGUAAAACUCUGUUAUUAGGGAAGAACAUAUGUGUAAGUAACUGUGCACAUCUUGACGGUACCUAAUCAGAAAGCCACGGCUAACUACGUG
rnacentral:rRNA from 1 species